rnacentral:rRNA from 1 species
AGUGAACGCUGGCGGUAGGCCUAACACAUGCAAGUCGAACGGCAGCACAGUAAGAGCUUGCUCUUACGGGUGGCGAGUGGCGGACGGGUGAGGAAUACAUCGGAAUCUACUUUUUCGUGGGGGAUAACGUAGGGAAACUUACGCUAAUACCGCAUACGACCUACGGGUGAAAGCAGUGGAUCUUCGGACCUUGCGCGAUUGAAUGAGCCGAUGUCGGAUUAGCUAGUUGGCGGGGUAAAGGCCCACCAAGGCGACGAUCCGUAGCUGGUCUGAGAGGAUGAUCAGCCACACUGGAACUGAGACACGGUCCAGACUCCUACGGGAGGCAGCAGUGGGGAAUAUUGGACAAUGGGCGCAAGCCUGAUCCAGCCAUACCGCGUGGGUGAAGAAGGCCUUCGGGUUGUAAAGCCCUGUUGUUGGGAAAGAAAAGCAGCAUGUUAAUACCCCGCUGUUCUGACGGUACCCAAAGAAUAAGCACCGGCUAACUUCGUG